rnacentral:rRNA from 1 species
UACGGAGGGUGCAAGCGUUAUCCGGAUUUAUUGGGUUUAAAGGGUCCGUAGGCGGAUUUGUAAGUCAGUGGUGAAAGCCUGCAGCUUAACUGUAGAACUGCCAUUGAUACUGCAAGUCUUGAGUAAGGUUGGGGUAGCUGGAAUGAGUAGUGUAGCGGUGAAAUGCAUAGAUAUUACUCAGAACACCGAUUGCGAAGGCAGGUUACCAAGUCUUAACUGACGCUGAGGGACGAAAGCGUGGGGAGCGAAC